rnacentral:rRNA from 1 species
CGACACAACGGGUGAGCCUGCGGUUUAAUUGGACUCAACGCCGGGCAGCUCACCGGAUAAGACAGCUGGAUGAUAGCCGGGCUGAAGACUCUGCUUGACUAGCUGAGAGGAGGUGCAUGGCCGUCGUCAGUUCGUACUGUGAAGCAUCCUGUUAAGUCAGGCAACGAGCGAGACCCACGCCAACAGUUGCCAGCAUGUCCUCCGGGAUGAUGGGGACACUGUUGGGACCGCCUCUGCUAAAGAGGAGGAAGGAAUGGGCAACGGUAGGUCAGCAUGCCCCGAAUUAUCCGGGCUACACGCGGGCUACAAUGGUCAGGACAAUGGGUAUCGACACCGAGAGGUGGAGGCAAUCUCCUAAACCUGUCCUUAGUUCGGAUUGUGGGCUGCAACUCGCCCACAUGAAGCUGGAAUCCGUAGUAAUCGCGUUUCAAAAUAGCGCGGUGAAUAUGUCCCUGCUCCUU